rnacentral:rRNA from 1 species
UACGUAGGUGGCAAGCGUUGUCCGGAAUUAUUGGGCGUAAAGCGCGCGCAGGCGGCUUCUUAAGUCUGAUGUGAAAUCUCGGGGCUCAACCCCGAGCGGCCAUUGGAAACUGGGAAGCUUGAGUGCAGAAGAGGAGAGUGGAAUUCCACGUGUAGCGGUGAAAUGCGUAGAUAUCGGAAGGAACACCAGUGGCGAAAGCGGCUUCCUGGUCCAGCACCGACGUUCAGGCACGAAAGCGUGGGGAGCAAACAGG